GGCCGGGUGGCGGAGAGGCUACGCGAGAGGCCCGCAAACCUCGAUAUCCCUGGUUCGAUUCCAGGGCCCGGCCUCCA
rnacentral:tRNA from 1 species